CACUCCUGCGGGAGGCAGCAGUGGGGAAUUUUGGACAAUGGGCGAAAGCCUGAUCCAGCAAUGCCGCGUGAGUGAAGAAGGCCUUCGGGUUGUAAAGCUCUUUUGUCAGGGAAGAAACGGUGAAAGCUAAUAUCUUUUGCUAAUGACGGUACCUGAAGAAUAAGCACCGGCUAACUACGUGCCAGCAGCCGCGGUAAUACGUAGGGUGCAAGCGUUAAUCGGAAUUACUGGGCGUAAAGCGUGCGCAGGCGGUUUUGUAAGUCUGAUGUGAAAUCCCCGGGCUCAACCUGGGAAUUGCAUUGGAGACUGCAAGGCUAGAAUCUGGCAGAGGGGGGUAGAAUUCCACGUGUAGCAGUGAAAUGCGUAGAUAUGUGGAGGAACACCGAUGGCGAAGGCAGCCCCCUGGGUCAAGAUUGACGCUCAUGCACGAAAGCGUGGGGAGCAAACAGGAUUAGAUAACCCGGUAGUCCCAU
rnacentral:rRNA from 1 species